UUUUUGACUAAGGAUUUGAUUUAUUUUGGACAUAAAGUAAACACAUUUUCCUAUUCAGGGAUGUCAGUUCUUAUAUAUGGAUGAAUUACUCUAUAUCCUGACUUACUUUUUGCCUUCAAGAUGUGCUCCAAAAGAGGUACAGUAAGAAGCCCACUAUUUGCAUUUCUGAUAGUUUUUGACUUCCAUGUCUAGCAUCCAUGUUAUAUGCAGUUUGAAACACUUCAAGCAAAUAAUUUACAGAAACAAGGCCAUGACUUUAUUAUAAUCCAAGAUGCCUGGCAGAAACAAAUGCAUAUUUCUGGGCUAACGUGCCUCUAACCCAGGCCUCAAGGACUCCACAUCUAUAAAUCCAAGGAACUUGAGCUCAAGGAAACAAAGCAUCGUGAAUAAAAGCAGGAACCAAGACUACUGGACCCAAAAGGCAGAGUCAGCUGUUCUCACACGGAUGAAAGCUAUGACUGAAGAGAGAGGAAAUCAUGGAAAACUUACAGACUAGUCCGCAAGUUUACAAAGGGAGAAGUUGAAGCUAAGGAUGCGACAGAGGCUAACCCUGGAUGACUUAAAAAGGAAGAGAAGAGUACUUGAAUUCAGAGCCCUGAUGGAAGACUGGAGAAGAGGUUGAGACAAGUUCAGGAGCCAAGGGAGCGGGCUUUUCGUGUGACUGCAUGCAUGGUGAAUCUCCAGGAGGGAUUAUAGGACCCCCCCUCCCCCUUCAUCAUCCGAUUGCGACAAGGUAAAAGCACGGAAUCCAACAACCAAACAGCCAGUGACCUUGAAGCCAUAGGCAGCAUAGGAAACCGCUCCUAUCUGUAUUCAUCGAUGACGCCUAAACUUUAGGUCGGAGUCAUAUUUAAUUUGAAAAGAUUGGGAAGCUGAAGACCAUAUCUUCACGUGCAAAUCCCAGCCUUAGCUCUCUGGCCAAUAGAGGUAAAUACAAGUCACAUGCUUGACUGAAAUCAGCACUGAAGUUGAGCUUUCUAAAAAGUUUCAUUAUUUAAUGUUUCUUUUUUCAAGCUUCCGUACUUAUGACUUUCUUGUUAUCCUUCAACAUUUGUAAAAUACAAAGCUAAUACCAUGAGAUAGAGACAUUCAUUGAAAUAAAAAUCUUUUUGGGGUCUACCGUGUGAAAGGCCUGUGCUAGAUAUAAGGGGUAAACUCAUGAGUUAGACAUAUUUCCUGCCUUUAAGAGCUUUUACCUAGACUGUGAAUUGGUUUAUUUAUUUAAAAGACUUUUUUUCAGGCCGACUAUGAUCUAGGCACUGUGCUAGGAGCUCAGAUAAAGCUGUGAAGCUGUGAACAAGAAAAUAAAAGUUUCUAUUCUUUGGCACAUAGAUGCAGUGGGGGAGCCUGAUAUUAAAUCACACAGCACAUAUUUAUUCAUUGAAUCAUUCUUGCGAUCAGAGCCACAAAGGCUUAGACCAGCAUAAGCCUGUGAGGAUAUGAUGGAACGCGUUCUCUCGGGAAGUGGCCUGUGAGCUGUGCUCUGAAGGAUGAACAGGAAUAAACAUUAUGGAGAUAUGGUUGGAGGGAGCGAGAAGAGAAAUAAGAGUUUUAGGACAGGAGAGAGUUUUGCUGGUACCAGAGGAAGGGUGGCCUGACCAAGCAGGGCCUUGGAGACCGUGGGAAAGUUUCAGUCUUCAUGCUAAAUGCAAUGGGAAGACAUGGGGCAGAUUUCCUCAGGGAAGGAAUGUAAUCAGACAUGCACUCUAGAAAGGUUACUCUGGCCAUGCAUAUUGAAUGGCUUGCAAGGGCAGUAAUGGAGGCAGAAAUACCAGCUAGAAGGUUGGUCUAGUAAUUCAAGGGGAAAAUGCUGGUAGGUUCAACUAGGGUAGGUGUGGGAGAAUGAUGCUGAGAGGUGUAUAGAUACAAGAGAUAUAAAUGAGUCCCAAACAACAGAACUUGAUGCUUAAUUGGAUGUGGGAGUUAUUUAGGAGAAAGUCAGGUAAAUUGCCAAAUGCAAUAUGGUAUGCUAAAUGCUCUAAAAGACUAUAGAGGCAUCUGGCCUGUUGCUGGGUAUAAGCAAAUGUAUAUGCAGAAAACCCCACAAAGGACCUCAAGUCAUAUAUAAUGUAUCUGAAGAGGCUAGAUGUAAAUGCUGAAAAGUUAGCUCAUAAUCAAGGCACUAAAUGCCAGUCAUCACAGGUGUGAUACAGGCACUAUGGUUUGUUGGUGUUCCCAGGUCAGUUGUGGAUAGAGGUAGCCAGGGAAAGCUUCAUGCAAUAGACGGAAUGAGCUGGGCUUGGGCAAAGAAAGAAAGAACAAUCCUGGUGGAGAGAACACACAGAAGAGGGGGAGGAGGAAGUAAGGAUAGACAUAACAUAUUUAGAGAGUACCAAAUAGACCAGUUGUAUCAAAAUGGGAGAUUUGGGGGGAAAGAAAAAUUUGGAAAAGAUAAAAUUGGAAGUAUAGGUUAGGGGAAGCAAGGGGUUGCAGAAUUAUAUGCAAAAUUCAUAAAUACUGAUUCACACCUGGAUUGUCAUGAGUAAGCUGUAAAUCUCCGGCACUAGGAAGAGCUCAAGUUCUCGGUCUCCUUGUACCUUUUCUACAAUGAAAUCUCCGUUCCCCUGCCCCGCCCCAGCUUUAUUGAGAUGUGAUUGACAUACAGCAUCGUGCGACUUGAAUGGGCAAAACAUGUUGAUCUGAUGCUGGAUCAACUGGAACUGGCUAGCCAACACCCUCAUCAGGUCACAUAACUAAUGUUUCUUUUUUGCAGUGAGAACAUUUAAAAUUCACUCUCUUAGCAACUUUCAGAUGUAUACUACCCAUUGAGUAUUCUUGGCUCCCCUGUCAAAUAUUACUUGACUAUACAUGCAAGGAUUUAUUUCUGGGCUCUUGAUUUUGUUCGAUCCAUCUAUGUGUUUAUUUUUAUGCCACUAUUAUACUGUUUUGAUUACUAUAGAUGUGUUGUUGAAUUCAGUUUGCUUAUAUUUUGUCGAGAAUUUUUGUAUCUAUUCAUCAGGGAUAUUGGCCUUAAGUUUCUUUUUCCUUGUGGUGUUCUUGUCUGGCUUUGGUUUUACAGUAAUGCUAUAAAAUGAGUUUGGGAGUGUUCCCUCCUCUUCAAUUUUUUGGAAGAUUUUGAGAUGAAUUGGUUUUAAUUCUUCCUUAAAAGUUUGAUAGAAUUCACCAGUGAAACCAUCUAGUCCUGGGCUUUUCUUUAUUGGGAGGUUUUUGAUUAUUGAUGAUUGAAUCUCUUUAUUCAUUAUUGGUUCAUUCAGAUUUUUAAAGAUUUCAUCCUGAUUCAGUCUUGGUAGGUUGUAUAUUUCCAGUAAUUCACCCAUUUCUUCUAGGUUGUCCAAUUUGUAGGUGUACGAUUGUUCACAAUAGUCUCAUGGUCCUUUGUAUUUCUGUGGGAUCAGUUAUAAUGUCUGCUUGUCAUUUCUGAUUAUAUUUAUUUACAUCCUCUUUCUUUUUUUCUUAGUCUAGCUAAAGGUUUGUUAGUUUUGCUUAUCUUUUUUU